rnacentral:misc_RNA from 1 species
GUAAGGUUCCUGUAUUCAUGAACUUAUUUUUGGCAAAUGACAAAAAAUAUUCAAUGAAUUUUGAAGGGACUAUAGGGUUAAGCCAGAUAUCAGAUAUGAACUACAAGGCGAUGUCAUAUUGAGUACUUUUGACUCCUAAUACAAACCUGGAGAUCAUCAAAGACAUUUAGGCGAAAAUAGAAUGAUUACUCAAAUUAAAUGGAUCAUGCCUUGUCUUGGCUUGGGACUCUCAGUUAAGUGGGGCAAUCACAAAAAUUCAUUCGCACGGAGGCAGGCUUGUCCAGCAGUAUUAGAAACUUAAAUUAAUCCCUGGCGCUGCAGAUCAGUAUAUGUCUUUUUGUUGUAAAUAUUCCCGUCUUCAUACUCCUCAAGAUCUGGCCACCAUUUGUUCGGUCCUUGUCGGUCUUGUAUUUUUUUCCACAAUUCUUUUGCUUCCUCAAUUGAUGUUAUCUCAUUAAAGUUCUUCGUGUUUGGAACACCAAGACAAUGCAUUCCAUGCUGAUGGCGUCCCUCCUUAAAAUGCCGCUCAAAAGUCCUACGUCCCUAGUAACUGUAGUUCCCACAUAUAUCACACCUGAAUUCCUGACCAAGACCAUGAAGUUUAUACAGCCAGUGAGGAAAAGGCUUUCCAUCCCAACCCAUUGCUAGCUUGAGAGGAUUGCAUAUCUGUUGCUCCUCAUCAUCACUUUCAGUAUCAGCUUGUGUCUCUUCCUGCACCAUAUUUCAGGUCAAAUAACCAUGUAUCAACAGCAACCACAAGAUACAGGAUUCAAUUCAACUAUCCUAAAUAGUAUAAUAUGACAACUUUUGGCACUACAACAAUCACAAGAGGAAGAAAAGAAAAAUUUCAUGACGAAGUGUCCUAAUAAUACAUUACAAAAAUUUUCCAGAUGCAAUUACUUUUCCCUACUUGCCACUGUGCUGGGUACCUUAUACUGCCAGAGCGAGGGCAUUGGGUUAAAUUUCAAAUUUUUCACAAGUUCUUAGAAGAAUUUUCAAAACCAACAUAAAUUUGGACAUAUAUUGAAGUUGAUCUACACUGUAGUAACAUAAGAACUUGUGCUACUUUCUGUUAACUUAUCUCCUCACGUUCUGCUUCCAUUUCAUCAUAUGUCAAAGCCUGCUUCUUCACAACAUUUUCUUUUGUUCGUACAAUAGUCUGUGGUGGUUCAAAAUAUAAAAAAUCCACAUUUAAGCCCUUUAGAAAAAGUAAAUGAAAGUUCAGCUUAGGAAGGUUAGUAAAAAUGCACCAUGAUAUUCAAGUGCAGUUCAGGCACUAAGAACAAAGUUGACAGGUACUGACACCUUAGAUCUCAAUGAGCUAUCUCUAAAUGAAGAGAUUCAAUAUAAUCAAUAAGAACCAGACAAUUUUGCAACAGCAUUUUACCUUACUCAGUAAAUCACAUAGUUUUUUCAUUUUGGCCUCCAUCAGGGCAAUUGCUUUUGAAUUAUUAACUUCUUUUAAGGCAGUUGCACCUCCAUUCCGUUCUGAUCCAUGUGAAACUUUUGCAAAAUGUUUAGUCCUAAUGCACCCAAUGCUGAACAGUACUGCCAGUCUUUAGUCCUAAUGCACCCAAUGCCUUUGACAAUAUCCUAUCUAGAUCUUGUAAAGGCUCUGUCCGCUGAAAAAAGUACAUUAAAUACUCAAGUAGAUUUUCCAUAUAUUCCCUGUAUUGCCUGCAGAAAAUUAAAACAGAAACAGAACUAUCAAAUCCUGGAUGAAUUGUUUGCACUAAAGAGAAGAUGUGGGUGUCGAGAAAUGAACCUUUAAUGAACAAUAUUUUUCUGCUUGCAAGAGAGAGAGAGAGAGAGAGAGA